GGGAAUGUGGCUUAGUGGUAGAGUGCUUGCCUAGCAUGCAUGAAGCCCUGGGUUCAAUUCCUCAGUGUACACA
rnacentral:tRNA from 1 species